rnacentral:lncRNA from 1 species
AACCAACAAACACACACAGGAAACCAACUGCCAAUCGCUGGACUUAUGUCAGACUCCAACACAACACAAAGGGUUGAAAAAGAAAAAGGGCGCCCGGAGAGAUCAGCUCAUCUUAUCAGACUCCGAACCAACAAACACACACAGGAAACCAACUGCCAAUCGCUGGACUUAUGUCAGACUCCAACACAACACAAAGGGUUGAAAAAG